GGGGAUUUAGCUCAGUGGUAGAGCGCUUGCCUAGCAAGCACAAGGCCCUGGAUUCAGUCCUCA
rfam:Rattus norvegicus chromosome 13, whole genome shotgun sequence.